rnacentral:rRNA from 1 species
ACGGGUGAGUAACACGUAUCCAACCUUCCGGUUACUCGGGGAUAGGCUUUCGAAAGAAAGAUUAAUACCCGAUGUUGCGUAUCUUUCUCCUGAAAGAUACGCCAAAGGAUUCCGGUAACCGAUGGGGAUGCGUUCCAUUAGGCAGUUGGCGGGGUAACGGCCCACCAAACCUUCGAUGGAUAGGGGUUCUGAGAGGAAGGUCCCCCACAUUGGAACUGAGACACGGUCCAAACUCCUACGGGAGGCAGCAGUGAGGAAUAUUGGUCAAUGGACGGAAGUCUGAACCAGCCAAGUAGCGUGAAGGAUGACUGCCCUCUGGGUUGUAAACUUCUUUUAUACGGGAAUAACAUGAGGUACGCGUACCUUAUUGCAUGUACCGUUAUGAAUAAGCAUCGGCUAACUCCGUGCCAGCAGCCGCGGUAAUACGGAGGAUGCGAGCGUUAUCCGGAUUUAUUGGGUUUAAAGGGAGCGUAGGUGGGAUAUUAAGUCAGCUGUGAAAGUUUGGGGCUCAACCUUAAAAUUGCAGUUGAUACUGGUUUCCUUGAGUACGGUACAGGUGGGCGGAAUUCGUGGUGUAGCGGUGAAAUGCUUAGAUAUCACGAAGAACUCCAAUUGCGAAGGCAGCUCACUGGGGUACAACUGACACUGAGGCUCGAAAGUGUGGGUAUCAAGCAGGAUUAGAUACCCUGGUAGUCCACACAGUAAACGAUGAAUACUCGCUGUUUGCGAUAUACAGUAAGCGGCCAAGCGAAAGCAUUAAGUAUUCCACCUGGGGAGUACGCCGGCAACGGUGAAACUCAAAUGAAUUGACGG